AGGUGUUAUCGAUAGGACAGAUGAAG
rnacentral:piRNA from 1 species